AUGGCGGCGUCGGAGCUGCACUUCCUGCUGGUGCCGCUGGUGGCGCAGGGCCACAUCAUCCCGAUGGUGGACCUGGCGCGCCUCAUCGCCGCGCGCGGGCCGCGGGUCACCGUGCUCACCACGCCCGUCAACGCCGCGCGCAACAGGCCGGCCGUCGAGGGCGCCGCCAGGGCGGGCCUGCGCGUCGACCUCGCCGAGCUGCCCUUUCCCGGCCCGCGCUUCGGGCUGCCGGAGGGGCUGGAGAACGCCGACCAGAUGGUCGACCAGACCAUAUACGUCAAGUUCUUCCAGGCCAUCUGGGGGAUGGCCGAGCCGCUCGAGGAGUACGUCCGCGCGCUGCCGCGCCGGCCCGACUGCCUCAUCGCCGACUCCUGCAACCCGUGGACGGCCGGCGUGUGCGCUAGCCUCGGCAUCCCCAGGCUGGUCAUGCACUGCCCCUCCGCCUACUUCCUCCUCGCUGUGCACAACCUGGCCAAGCACGGCGUGUACGACCGCGUCGGCGGCGACGACAUGGAGGAGUUCGAGGUGCCGGACUUCCCGGUGCCCGCCGUGGGGAACACGGCCACGUUCCGGGGGUUCUUCCAGUGGCCCGGCGUGGAGAAGGAGCAGCAAGACGUGCUCGACGCCGAGGCCACCGCCGACGGCCUGCUCGUGAACACGUUCCGCGGCAUCGAGAGCGUCUUCGUCGACGCCUACGCGGCGGCGCUCGGCCGGAGGACGUGGGCCGUCGGGCCGACGUGCGCCUCCAGCUUGGGCGACGCCGAUGCCAAGGCCGGCCGCGGCAACCGCGCCGACGUCGACGCCGGCCACGUCGUCUCGUGGCUCGACGCACGGCCGCCGGCGUCCGUGCUCUACAUCAGCUUCGGCAGCAUCGCGAAGCUGCCGGCGAAGCAGGUCGCCGAGCUCGCGCGCGGCCUCGAGGCGUCGGGGCGGCCGUUCGUGUGGGCCAUCAAGGAGGCCAAGGCCGACGCCGCCGUGCAGGCGCUGCUGGACGACGAGGGGUUCGAGGAGCGCGUCAAGGACAGGGGCCUCCUCGUCCGAGGCUGGGCGCCGCAGGUGACCAUCCUGUCGCACCCGGCGGUGGGCGGGUUCCUGACGCACUGCGGCUGGAACGCGACGCUGGAGGCCAUCUCCCACGGCGUGCCGGCGCUGACGUGGCCCAACUUCGCCGACCAGUUCUGCAGCGAGCAGCUGCUCGUGGACGUGCUCGGCGUCGGCGUCAGGUCCGGCGUCAAGCUGCCCGUCAUGAACGUGCCCGCGGAGGCCGAGGGCGUCCAGGUCACCAGCGGCGACGUGGAGAAGGUGGUCGCCGAGCUGAUGGACGACGGGCCGGAGGGGGCCGCGAGGAGGUCCAGGGCCAAGAAGCUCGCCGCAGAGGCCAGCGCGGCCAUGGAGGAAGGCGGGUCGUCGUACGCCGACCUGGAGGACAUGAUCCGCCACGUAUCGGAGCUGUCGAGGACGAGGAGCCACGAGUACGGGUGGGGCACGAGCUCGACGUCCCUGCUUUCCGCUGCGGCGGAGCUUGGAGUUGGAAGCAAGAGCGGCGCCAAGAAGAUGGAAGCCGACGCUGCGUUGUCAGUGCACUCCUGA
rnacentral:rRNA from 1 species